rnacentral:rRNA from 1 species
GGAAACGGGUUAAUAUUCCCGUACUUCUUACAAUUGCGAUGGGGGGACGGAGAAGGCUAGGUGGGCCUGGCGACGGUUGUCCAGGUUCAAGUGCGUAGGCUUAAGAGUUAGGUAAAUCCGGCUCUUUCUAAGGCUGAGACACGACGUCGAGCACCUACGGGUGUGAAGUCAUUGAUGCCAUGCUUCCAGGAAAAGCCUCUAAGCUUCAGAUUGUAAGGAAUCGUACCCCAAACCGACACAGGUGGUCGGGUAG